ACCACGUUGUAGAGCCGGCAGUCUUGUAGCGAAGUCUGUUGAUCAUGAGUGAAGGCUCCGAAGAACAAAAGGCGCAUGCGCAAGGCUGCAAGGCUUGUUUGGCCGACAUGGAUUUUUCACUUCUCCUGAUAGAUUGGCUGAGCACAACUUACUUGAUAUGUUCGGUGAAUAUAUAUACAGUAUUUCAUUUUAACCUCAGACCUGAAGUUAUAAUUACCUCGAUGCAUAUUUUCAUUUGAGGAUUAUCAAUUGGUAGCUGUUUGUUGAGUCAAUAUUUAUUUUUCAGUUUGUACAAUUCUUCAAAAUAUAUAUUUUUUUACAGUGCAGUGAGUACUGGAAGCUGUAACUAGUAAAUCAUUUAUUUUGAUGAUGCGAAAGCCAGUACAAAACACACUGCAUGGGUAGCCACUGUUGUUUCUUGUCCACGACAUGAAAAUAAUUUUGAUGUCAUAAUCAAAUAAUCUGACACAGUGACAAAAUAUUUACACACCACAACACCUCAACUAUGAUGACGAUCAAAACUAAACUAACCCUCAAGUAGAUCUCGAGGAGGAUUUAUUCCCUAUUGUGGUUUAUGUUCGAAAAAAAUAAGUAGUUGUUUAAUUCUUCCACUUGUUUUCUCUUUCUUUUUACUAUCUUGCUGUUCUGGGCAACCAAAUGAAGAGACUAGUGUCUUCUGUAGUGUACCCUUGGGAUUUUACAUUCUGGGUAGCAUGUUUAUGCUAAUUGGAUCAAAGUACAUUGCAGGACAGAAAUAGAAUUGAAUCUUUCUACAUUUCAGAAGAUGGGAGACAAAAGCUAAAAAUCUUCUUCAGAAAUAUCUAUGAGGAUCUUCAUGAUUGUGGCGCAGGAAGUUUUACAUUGUAUGGGUGACACUUCAAAAAUUUAAUGAAACAAUAAUUAUAGUGCACUUUGUAGUAAAUUUAGCUGUUUUGAGUAUUAACAGCAAGGAAAUUGUGUCAUAUAGUGUACAGUAUAUGAAUAUAAAAUAAAACUA